UGUGCCUUUGAUCAGCGCUG
rnacentral:misc_RNA from 1 species